UACAGAAAACGCAUUAAUAUUAAUUUCAUAAACAAUGUGACUGUUCGAAAGCCUAUAAUUUACAUUGCAUUGUAUGUUCGGCUUAGAGUGUCGUUUGUCCUACGGUGUUCGGCGGUCAUUAAACGCACCACAAUGGGGGACAUUUUUUUCGGUUGAACAAUUCAUAGAUCUCUGAGCCUUAUUGCGCCUGAUACAUCAUAUCACCAGGUUGAUGCUGUGCGUGAAUGCAUAAAGGUAAAGGAGAGACGAUGACCAACACAAGUCAACACUUCUGUCAAUAUAAAGAAGAAAGCGAGGACAACGACGCCUACUGACCUGCUUCAUCAUGGUUGGCAGACAGCUUGUCCAGCAUCUCUCGGUCCACAUUCAGGAUAUGCUGCUCUAAGAUGCUGGCAUAGGAAAGAGGGUUCUCCUUCUUCUCCCGCUCAAAUGCCUGCAGGUGCUGCUUCAGGGCCUCAGGGAGGUGGGCCUUCACGUAGUCUGCUGCUGCCUGGGGUGGUGAGACACAGGAAAGGGUGAACAGCUGGCUUAAUAUCAGCAUAAGGUACCGUAGGCGCCGAUGAUGAUGGAUGAUCACCGAUUCUACAGUUUUUCAGAACAGUGUUGGCUAGUUUUUCC